UACGUAGGUGGCAAGCGUUGUCCGGAUUUAUUGGGUUUAAAGGGUGCGUAGGCGGCCCUGUAAGUCAGUGCUGAAAUAUCCCAGCUUAACUGGGAGGGUGGCAUUGAUACUGCGGGGCUAGAGUACAGAUGAGGUAGGCGGAAUUGACGGUGUAGCGGUGAAAUGCUUAGAUAUCGUCAAGAACACCUAUAGCGAAGGCAGCUACUAGGCUGUAACUGACGCUGAGGCACGAAAGUGUGGGGAUCAAACAGG
rnacentral:rRNA from 1 species